GCCGAUCACAUGGCUGGCCGAGGAAAGGUCCGCCGGUCAGGGAUGGGCCCGCGGCCUAUCAGCUUGUUGGUGAGGUAACGGCCCACCAAGGCGACGACGGGUAGCUGGUCUGAGAGGACGACCAGCCACACUGGAACUGAGAUACGGUCCAGACUCCUACGGGAGGCAGCAGUGGGGAAUAUUGCACAAUGGACGCAAGCCUGAUGCAGCGACGCCGCGUGAGGGAUGAAGGCCUUCGGGUCGUAAACCUCUUUCGGCAGGGACGAAGCGAUCAGUGACGGUACCUGCAGAAGAAGCCCCGGCUAACUACGUGCCAGCAGCCGCGGUAAGACGUAGGGGGCGAGCGUUGUCCGGAUUUAUUGGGCGUAAAGCGCGCGUAGGCGGCUGCGCAAGUCGGUUGUGAAACCCCGGGGCUCAACCCCGGAACUGCAUUCCGAUACUGCGUGGCUA
rnacentral:rRNA from 1 species